rnacentral:rRNA from 1 species
UACGAAGGGAGCUAGCGUUAUUCGAAAUUACUGGGCGUAAAGAGCAUGUAGGCGGCUUAAUAAGUUGGAAGUGAAAGCCCAGGGCUUAACCCUGGAACUGCUUUCAAAACUGUUAGGCUAGAGAUCAAUAGGGGAUAGCGGAAUUCCUAGUGUAGAGGUGAAAUUCUUAGAUAUUAGGAGGAACACCGGUGGCGAAGGCGGCUAUCUGGGUUGAUUCUGACGCUGAGAUGCGAAAGUGUGGGUAGCAAACAGG